GUUAAGAUGGUUUAGUUGGUCUAUGGUGCUAAUUUUAGGUAGAUGUCCGAAUGGGGAUGGGUUCAAAUCCCAUUCUUGACA
rnacentral:tRNA from 1 species